rnacentral:rRNA from 1 species
GGAGGGUGCGAGCGUUGUCCGGAUUUAUUGGGUUUAAAGGGUGCGUAGGCGGUUUAUUAAGUCAGUGGUGAAAGUCUGUAGCUUAACUAUAGAAGUGCCAUUGAUACUGAUAGACUUGAGUAUACUAUAGGCAGGCGGAAUUUAUGAUGUAGCGGUGAAAUGCAUAGAUAUCAUAAAGAACCCCGAUAGCGAAGGCAGCUUGCCGGAGUAUAACUGACGCUGAUGCACGAAAGCGUGGGGUAGCGAACAGGAUUAGAUACCCUGGUAGUCCACGCCCGUAAACCGAUGAUUACUCGCUGUUGGCGAUAGACAGUCAGCGGCUUAGCGAAAGCGUUAAGUAAUCCCACCUGGGAGUACGAUCGCAAGAUUG